rnacentral:tRNA from 1 species
GCGGGGGUCGCAUAGUCUGGCCAUUGCGUUGGAUUGCUAAUCCAAUGGGAGUAAUCCCACGGGGGUUCAAAUCCCCCUCCCCGCG